CACACACACACACACACACACACACACACACACACACACACACACACACACACACACACACACACACACACACGCACACACACUAUUGCUCUUGUUUAAUGUAGAAGCUGAGCUGAGAUUUAGGGUUUCUGGCUCAUGAGCAGGGAAAACAAAUCUGGAAAGCUAAGGAAAGGCAGGGUUAUACAGUAGUUUCUUGACUGUGUCUGGGAAAAAAAAUGAAAGACAAAAACAAACAAAAAUUGUGAUGGAAAUAAA